rnacentral:lncRNA from 1 species
GGACUACUUUGACCUGAAGAUUACCAUGGCUGUUUUUUGUUAUUAUUAAACUGUUGUCAUUCUCUAUAAAGAACCUAUGAUGAAGCCCGAAAAGACAGCACAUGCAAAUUCAGAGAAUAUUCUACUGAAGUCACCUUUACAAGGAGAUCACCUCUCUCCCAUUGUGGAAAAGGUGACAUCAAAACCUUUGGCACCAUUACAAGACAUGGACAAGCAUCAGCUACAUGAUGGUUCUAAGGCAGCAAUGGGGACCAUGAAGAAGCAAAAUAAAAAGGCAAAAGACACAAGAAAAAGAAACAAAGAGGCUAAAAAAAGGAAAGACGAGGUAAAAAGAUUGGAAAUGGACCGGGACACAACGGAGAAAGAAAAAGAGAAAGAGAAAGAGAAGAUGGUUGAAGAAAAAAAGAAAGCCGAGCUGAUUUGGAGACUGGAGGAGGAGAGACUGAAGGCUUUGGCAGAAGUGACAGAAACAGACAUGGCAAAGGAACAGAAGGAUGGUGAUAUGAAGGCAGACAUAUUGUGGGUGGAAGAACAAGGGAAGAUAGUUCAAGAAAACAGCCAGAAGCAUAAGACAAAACAGGAGCAAGAGACAAUGAAGUUAAAUAUGGGCAGAGAAAGAAUGGAAGAAGAGAUAAAGAUGAUGGAUGCAGAACAUGAUAAAGCCAAUAUGUCAAGGAGACUGGAAGAGAAGAGUAUGAGUGCUCUGGAAGAAGAAGAGGAGAAGAGGAGAGUAAAGGAGGAAGUUGAGACAGAGAUGGUGAAAGGACAUCCCUCCCCUGCAGAAAAGUUAGAGUCUGAUGAUAAAGUCUUGAGAGUUCCUGCAGAAUGUGAAAAAGAAGGAAAGAAAGGCAGGAAUAAAGGCAAGGAGAUCCUGACGGAGGACAAAGGUAUGUGUGCUCAGAUAUGUACAGUAGAUAUGUCUAUGAAAACCCCUGGACUACUUUG